rnacentral:rRNA from 1 species
GACGAACGCUGGCGGCGUGCUUAACACAUGCAAGUCGAACGCUGAAGCUCAGCUUGCUGGGUGGCUGAGUGGCGAACGGGUGAGUAACACGUGAGUAACCUGCCCUCUUCUUUGGGAUAACGCCCGGAAACGGGUGCUAAUACUGGAUAUUCACUGAUUCUCGCAUGGGGGUUGGUGGAAAGGUUUUUUCUGGUGGGGGAUGGGCUCGCGGCCUAUCAGCUUGUUGGUGGGGUGAUGGCCUACCAAGGCUUUGACGGGUAGCCGGCCUGAGAGGGUGACCGGUCACAUUGGGACUGAGAUACGGCCCAGACUCCUACGGGAGGCAGCAGUGGGGAAUAUUGCACAAUGGGCGAAAGCCUGAUGCAGCGACGCCGCGUGAGGGAUGGAGGCCUUCGGGUUGUAAACCUCUUUCGCUCAUGGUCAAGCCGCAGCUUGGGGUUGUGGUGAGGGUAGUGGGUAAAGAAGCGCCGGCUAACUACGUG